rnacentral:rRNA from 1 species
GUUCAGACUGCAGGCUGCAACUCGCCUGCACGAAGUCGGAAUUGCUAGUAAUCGUAGGUCAGCAUACUACGGUGAAUACGUUCCCGGGCCUUGUACACACCGCCCGUCAAACCAUGAGAGUUGGCAACACCCGAAGUCGGUAGUCUAACCGCAAGGAGGACGCCGCCGAAGGUGGGGUUGAUGAUUAGGGUUAAGUCGUAACAAGGUAAC